GCGGGAUUGGCGGAAUUGGCAGACGCGCUAGGCUUAGAACCUAGUGGAGAGAUCCGUGUGGGUUCAAGUCCCUCAUCCCGCA
rnacentral:tRNA from 1 species